AGAAGUUCAUUCUAAGUACGCUAACUAUGGAUCGCAGGUCAUGGCUUGCUAUCCCUCUGAAAUUUGCGAUAGACGGAGGCUGCUCCAUACAAAAUUUUAAAAAACAGAGCUAGAGCUGCUGGCGUUGUUCUCUUUGCUGCCUCACUGUAAGAUCAGAAGCUGGUCACUGUAAGCGCAUCCCAGAUAAACCUGGAACCACUUAUUACAGGUUACAGGCCCUUUCUGAAAAACCGCUUACACAAUAUACAUGUAACUUUAGACAAGCAAGCAGGUGUAAAAUUUCAAGAAGACCUUUAUUUAGAAACGUGAGCUUGACCAUGCAAAAUGAUGUAUAGUGUCUUUUCUAUUUCAUUCUUAUCUAGGGUCAUAGGUCACCAUCUCAAAUUUAAUGAUACUUUAUUCAUGUAGAUGCUAACACCUUUCAAAUAUGAGCUAGGGUCAUAGGUGACCAUCUCA